rnacentral:rRNA from 1 species
UACGUAGGGGGCAAGCGUUGUCCGGAAUUACUGGGCGUAAAGCGCACGUAGGCGGACUCUUAAGUCGGUGGUGAAAUCCUGGAGCUCAACUCCAGAACUGCCUUCGAUACUGAGAGUCUCGAGUCCGAGAGAGGUGAGUGGAACUGCGAGUGUAGAGGUGAAAUUCGUAGAUAUUCGCAAGAACACCAGUGGCGAAGGCGCUCACUGGCUCGGUACUGACGCUGAGGAACGAAAGCCAGGGGAGCGAAAGGG